rnacentral:rRNA from 1 species
UGCCUGUAAGACUGGGAUAACUCCGGGAAACCGGACCUAAUACCGGAUAGUUCCUUGAACCGCAUGGUUCAAGGAUGAAAGACGGUUUCGGCUGUCACUUACAGAUGGACCCGCGGCGCAUUAGCUAGUUGGUGGGGUAAUGGCUCACCAAGGCGACGAUGCGUAGCCGACCUGAGAGGGUGAUCGGCCACACUGGGACUGAGACACGGCCCAGACUCCUACGGGAGGCAGCAGUAGGGAAUCUUCCGCAAUGGACGAAAGUCUGACGGAGCAACGCCGCGUGAGUGAUGAAGGUUUUCGGAUCGUAAAGCUCUGUUGUUAGGGAAGAACAAGUGCGAGAGUAACUGCUCGCACCUUGACGGUACCUAACCAGAAAGCCACGGCUAACUACGUGCCAGCAGCCGCGGUAAUACGUAGGUGGCAAGCGUUGUCCGGAAUUAUUGGGCGUAAAGGGCUCGCAGGCGGUUUCUUAAGUCUGAUGUGAAAGCCCCCGGCUCANCCGGGGAGGGUCAUUGGAAACUGGGAAACUUGAGUGCAGAAGAGGAGAUUGGAAUUCCCCGUGUAGCGGUGAAAUGCGUAUAGAUGUGGAGGACCACCAUGGGGAAGGCGACUCUCUGGGUCUGUAACUGACGCUGAGGAGCGAAAGCGUGGGGAGCGAACCGGAUUAUAUACCCUGGUAGUCCACGCCGUAAACGAUGAGUGCUAAGUGUUAGGGGGUUUCCGCCCCUUAGUGCUGCAGCUAACGCAUUAAGCACUCCGCCUGGGGAGUACGGUCGCAAGACUGAAACUCAAAGGAAUUGACGGGGGCCCGCACAAGCGGUGGAGCAUGUGGUUUAAUUCGAAGCAACGCGAAGAACCUUACCAGGUCUUGACAUCCUCUGACAACCCUAGAGAUAGGGCUUUCCCUUCGGGGACAGAGUGACAGGUGGUGCAUGGUUGUCGUCAGCUCGUGUCGUGAGAUGUUGGGUUAAGUCCCGCAACGAGCGCAACCCUUGAUCUUAGUUGCCAGCAUUCAGUUGGGCACUCUAAGGUGACUGCCGGUGACAAACCGGAGGAAGGUGGGGAUGACGUCAAAUCAUCAUGCCCCUUAUGACCUGGGCUACACACGUGCUACAAUGGACAGAACAAAGGGCUGCAAGACCGCAAGGUUUAGCCAAUCCCAUAAAUCUGUUCUCAGUUCGGAUCGCAGUCUGCAACUCGACUGCG